UACGAAGGGGGCUAGCGUUGCUCGGAAUCACUGGGCGUAAAGCGCACGUAGGCGGAUUGCUAAGUCAGGGGUGAAAUCCUGGAGCUCAACUCCAGAACUGCCUUUGAUACUGGCAAUCUCGAGUCCGGGAGAGGUGAGUGGAACUGCGAGUGUAGAGGUGAAAUUCGUAGAUAUUCGCAGGAACACCAGUGGCGAAGGCGGCUCACUGGCCCGGUACUGACGCUGAGGUGCGAAAGCGUGGGGAGCAAACAGG
rnacentral:rRNA from 1 species